rnacentral:rRNA from 1 species
UUACCAGGAUUUGACAUGGGGAGGACCGGUACAGAGAUGUACUUUUCCCGCAAGGGACCUUCCGCACAGGUGCUGCAAGGCUGUCGUCAGCUCGUGUCGUGAGAUGUUGGGUUAAGUCCCGCAACGAGCGCAACCCUCGCCUUUAGUUGCCAUCAUUUAGUUGGGCACUCUAGAGGAACUGCCGGUGACAAGCCGGAGGAAGGUGGGGAUGACGUCAAGUCCUCAUGGCCCUUAUGUCCUGGGCUACACACGUGCUACAAUGGUGGUGACAGUGGGAAGCUAGGCGGUGACGCCGUGCUGAUCUCUAAAAGCCAUCUCAGUUCGGAUUGUACUCUGCAACUCGAGUACAUGAAGGUGGAAUCGCUAGUAAUCGUGGAUCAGCAUGCCACGGUGAAUACGUUCCCGGGCCU